rnacentral:rRNA from 1 species
AAGUCGUAACAAGGUCUCCGUUGGUGAACCAGCGGAGGGAUCAUUACAGAGUUGCAGGACUCCCAAACCCUUGUGAAUAUACCCGUUACCGUUGCUUCGGCGGGCGGCCCCAGGGCGGGGCCGUUGCCUCCCCGUUGCGGAGGUGCUCGCCAGAAGCCCAACCACAAUACUCUUGUCUUACCACGGCAUCUCUGAGUAAAACAUUCAAUAAGUCAAAACUUUCAACAACGGAUCUCUUGGUUCUGGCAUCGAUGAAGAACGCAGCGAAAUGCGAUAAGUAAUGUGAAUUGCAGAAUUCAGUGAAUCAUCGAAUCUUUGAACGCACAUUGCGCCCGCCAGUAUUCUGGCGGGCAUGCCUGUUCGAGCGUCAUUUCAACCCUCAAGCCCUGCUUGGUGUUGGGGCCCUACGGGCUCCGUAGGCCCCGAAAACUAGUGGCGGGCUCGCUAUAACUCCGAGCGUAGUACAAGUAUCUCGCUAGGGAAGUGUGGCGGGCUCUCGCCGUAAAACCCCCAUCUCACAAAAGGUUGACCUCGGAUCAGGUAGGAAUACCCGCUGAACUUAA